CAGAUGAUAUGAUUUUUGUCUUGAGUCUGAGGAUGCAGACAAACUAAAAACUCCUUAAAUGUGAACACCUACAAAUUGUCAUCUUGAAGACUAUCCUGAUGUUGCACUGGUUUCUCUUGCAGACAUGCUGGCACCCAGUGUUAAACAGACAUGAUGGCUGAGUGUUGGCAGUGGAGUAGAACUACACACUGCUCGCCUUUAGGCGUAAAGGCAUCCUGACAGGCAGUUUUGGAUGACUUGGGGAUGCAACUGCUAUCUUGGCUACAUCGACCAGUUUCGGCAAAUGUCAGGAUGUGGAGUUCUGUCUGCAUACCUCAACCUCACAGGGGCUUUAGAUUUCAAGACCAGGGUUUUUAUUUUAUUUUAUUUUUUCUCUAAUCCCUCAUUUGAAGGUUUAAAACCAGAUCAAUCAAAAUGUUUGCCUUUUAAUGUCUGUUAAUCUAAGCAGCAGCAUCAAUAGGUGAUAUUGGACACACAUUUACACUGGAGUACAGCAAGUGUACAUUUUGAGUUGGAUAAUUCUGAGGUUAUCUUGCAACUGAGCUCAAUGAUUAAGAGAUGCAAGCUUCCCAUGUGGUGUUUUGAAGAGAACAGAUGGCUGUAAAUUCUGGUUGGAAAAAUGAAGCCAAUGCUGAAAUCCCUUAAACCAACGUUCUGCCACCAAAUGUCUAUUGCUCGGUUUGCAGAUUAUGAGAACGGCUUUCUAGUAAACUCUUUACUGCUAAGUUUAUGGCAUCACUCACUUGGGGUUAUAACAAACAGCAAGAUGAUGUGGUGCUGAAGUCUGAUUAUACAAUGGUACAAGCAUUAAUGUACACGAGGCUAAAUAACAGACAAAUGCAUGAUUGUUCCUGUUGUUGUGGCUGAACAUUAGUCAUCUGUCUGUUUCAUUGGCCUAGAUGUGAUGGAAUCAUCUUUAUUUGAGAAAUGUACUUAAACCUUUGUCCCUACUUCCUGUGUUUUCAAGCUACCUCUUAAAAGGUGAAUAAACUGAACAGUGAAUGUGUCAUUGCUUUAAUAAAUGCCUAAAUGGAACAAGA